UUAAUGUAUGUAGAAUUGGAAAAAAAAAAUAAAAUUAACUUUUAAUUGUUAGGCGGAGAGACAUUCAUGCACAUUGAAGUCGUUGCAGCGUAACUGCAACGCCGUGUCAGCGCAUGCUCUACCUAUGCGACUCCACUCUCAGCUGGCUUUAAUUGUCACAAAAUGCCACCAUUAAUUGCCGUAGGUUGCGUCAUUGUCAGAGUAUAAAAUCCGUUAAGUUGGCUGCGUCAUUCCGAGGUACAUUUGAAGCAAAAUUAAAAAAAAAAACUAAUAGAUUAAAAAUUAUGUUAUUGCAAGGUAGUUGGUUUUAAUUUUUGAGUUCUUUGUUUGACUUUUCAUAGCGUAAAUUCACUUACAAAGCGAUGAUAAGUGACUAUAGUCGGUCGCAUACACAUAUACACGAGCGACUGAAUGUCCGCCCGAACCCAGUUUAGUAGCGACUACAAGACCAGUCCCCUCCGAACAAACUCGAUUACAAGGUACUUUUUGGAUUUUUUUCAAACAUGUAGCAUAAAAAAACAUAACACUUAACUAAAUGACAAAACCAAAUCAAAAAAAGCAAAUUAAUACUCGUAUUUUUCGUACUGUAUGUUCUGGAAGUCAACAUUUGAAGAUUACCAUACCAAUAACGUUUGUAGAAUUUAAGUGACCCGCGUACGCAUUCGUUCGUACGCCAGUUCGUUACUUCGUACAAUACGCUCAAUAAACUACGCACACAUUCACCCACAUCGAGGUAAUUGUUUAAACAAAAACUGAAUUUUGCAAAUUGCGUCUUCAUUCUUAUUUAGUAGGAAAAAAAGAUUUUGUGUGUUGGGAAGUUAAAAAAGUAAUGUGGUGGAAGUAAAGGGAUUGAAGUUGAUGUGUGAUUUAGUGGAAAACUCAAUUUUUUCAUACCCGCUUUACAAAGAAAUCACCUGCGAAAAGACAGUGCAUCAAAAUGGAACUAUAAUCACAACGCCCUCUAAAAACAAUCACCAACUGCUUCCUUUGUUCCUGUAGUCCGCGUGACUUCAGCUGCUGAGCCAGUCAUCAACAAAGAGUGAACUUAUUGCAGGUAACAGACACCUUCCAAAAAUCAACAUUUUUUUUCAAACACAAACAGCUGUGCACAGCAGACGAGCAAUUAUUUGCCCUAAUAAUAAAUAACAGAAACAACAGCCAAGUACUUAUAAUCCCCAACGAUAACAGCCGUCAGCAACACCGUACACGUGAACAACCAAAGGCGCUUGGGCCGAGCCGGCAGCAUGCCCGUUAGGCCGCGAUAUAGCCAAAAAAAGAGGUGAAUUUUUAACUAUUGAGUUUAUGCUUGAGUUUUCUAAUGCGUAAUUUU